AUAACGUUAAUAACAAACGACACGCUGUGAAGUCAAGCAUCAAGCAUGUCACUCUGGUCACCUAAUAAAGGGUGUUUGGUCCAGCAGAAGCAUGUGGUCAGACAUUGACUGUAAUGAUGGACAUCUGCUGAGUGACAGAAUUAAUUUAGAACACUUUAUAGUGUGAUUUCUGGACCAACACAAGAUCCAUUUCCCCAUUCUCUGUUGAUUCUGUCACUGCUGAUACACAAAUCAUCCACCAGUGGGCACAACAUUGACACAUUGAUCAGGCUUUCAUCAUUAAAUCUUUAUUCAAAU